rnacentral:rRNA from 1 species
CAGCAGCCGCGGGAAUACGAAGGGGGCUAGCGUUGUUCGGAUUAACUGGGCGUAAAGGGCGCGUAGGCGGGUUUUUAAGUCAGAGGUGAAAUCCCAAGGCUCAACCUUGGAACUGCCUUUGAUACUGGAAGUCUUGAGUCCGGGAGAGGUGAGUGGAACUGCGAGUGUAGAGGUGAAAUUCGUAGAUAUUCGCAAGAACACCAGUGGCGAAGGCGGCUCACUGGCCCGGUACUGACGCUGAGGCGCGAAAGCGUGGGGAGCAAACAGGAUUAGAUACCCCCGUAGUCCCUGUCUCUUAUAC